GAUUAACGCUGGCGGCGUGCCUAACACAUGCAAGUCGAGCGGCAGCGAGUUUUACACUGUCUUCUGGAAGCUUCUAGUUGAAAGAGAAGAUUUAUUCAAGAAUUUUGUGUAAAAUGUCGGCGAGCGGCGGACGGCUGAGUAACGCGUCGGAACGUACCUCAAAGCGAGGGAUAACGCAUCGAAAGGUGUUCUUAUACCGCAUAUGGUCUUCGGCUUCAAGCCUUCGGGCGCUUUGGGAACGGCCUGCGUAAGAAUAGGUCGUUGGUGGGGUAAUGGCCUACCAAGGGGACGGUGGUUAACUGGUGAGAGAGGAAGAUCAGUCAGACUGGAAGUGAGCCACGGUCCAGACUCGUGCGGGAGGCAGAAAUGAGGAAUCUGCCACAGUGGGAGAAAGCCUGAUGGAGAAACGCUGGGAGAAGGAUGAAGGCCUGCAGGUUGUAAUGUGCUUUUAAAAGUGAGGAUUGUGACAGUAACUUAUGAAUAAGAAUCGGCUAACUACGUG
rnacentral:rRNA from 1 species